CCUACGGGUGGCAGCAGUGGGGAAUAUUGCACAAUGGGGGAAACCCUGAUGCAGCGACGCCGCGUGAGUGAGGAAGUAUUUCGGUAUGUAAAGUUCUAUCAGCAGGGAAGAAAAUACCGGUACCUGCCUAAGAAUCCCCCGCUAACUCCGUGCCAGCAGCCGCGGUAAUACGUAGGGGGCAAGCGUUAUCCGGAUUUACUGGGGGUAAAGGGAGGGUAGACGGCUAAGCAAGUCAGAAGUGAAAACACAGGGCUCAACCUUGGGACUGCUUUUGAAACUGAGUAGCUAGAGUGCAGGAGAGGUAAGCGGAAUUCCUAGUGUAGCGGUGAAAUGCGUAGAUAUUAGGAGGAACACCAGUGGCGAAGGCGGCUUACUGGACUGUAACUGACGUUGAGGCGCGAAAGCGUGGGGAGCAAACAGGAUUAGAUACCCGUGUAGUC
rnacentral:rRNA from 1 species